rnacentral:tRNA from 1 species
GGAUGUGGCUCAAGCGGUAGCGCGCUCACCUGGCAUGCGCACGGCCCUGGGUUCAAUCCUCAGCACCA